rnacentral:lncRNA from 1 species
UUGAGGGUCAGUAAUACAUAUCAGUAAGUACCUCCUGGUCUCAAAGGAGAGAGAAAACCAGCAGGUCAGCACAUCCUUACUGUAUUCCUGACCAAGUUUGUCUUCCAGCUGGUGAAAUCUCAAGGCAUAGACACAGAUUAGAAGUUGACAUACAUCCACAGGAUAACAUUUAGAAGAGGACUAUCAUUCAAUCCACAAGCUUUACUGAACACUGACAGUGAGCCCUGUAGUAUGCUAAGUGAUGGAGGAGAACUGAAGGGCAAAUAAGCCCUAUAUGAAUGAAUCUAUUUGAGAAGACCCAUGUUAAAUAAGAUAAAACAAAUUAUCUAUGUAUCUAUUUAAGCAAAAGCUGUAGAAAUAAGAUAUAAGAAGAAAUACAAAAUUCUCC